UAUAUACAGGUUUGUUUUCCUUUUCUUGCUUUACCCUUAAUGGAAUGCUAAACACUACAAUUAAAUGUUACAAUUCGGCGUUUUCAUUUUUUAAAGAGAGAAAGGAUUAGAGUGUGAGAGAGAGUGUGAGAGAGUGCAUCUGCUAGAACAGACAUCGAUCUAGAGAGAAUUGGUCGGGAUUUUCUAUUUUAACUAUAAAGCAUAAACCCAGGCUAUUUUUCUAUGAUUUGAACUUUGAUUUGUGAUAUAUAUAUUUUAUUCAAGUAAUGUCAAGUGAUAUUCACAUUUCAAUUGCCCGUGUAACCGAUGGAAUUCAUGAAGCGAAAGACAAGGACAACACUAGCGCAAGUUUCCGCCACUUAGAUUGUCUCAUUUCUUACUCAAGAGGGUACUUAACACACCACACAUAAUGAAGACCAAUGUCCUUUAUAAGUUGUGCAUUACCUUCUUGCAUAUUCUAGAUCAAUACUCAUAAAAAAUGUCUAGGCUUGUUCCCUCAUCACCAAUGUUUUAGAACUCUCCGAACUUCUUUCCUAUCCACCAAUGUUCUAG
rnacentral:lncRNA from 1 species